rnacentral:rRNA from 1 species
UAGGCCCUACGGGACGCAGCAGUGAGGAAUAUUGGUCAAUGGUCGGGAGACUGAACCAGCCAAGCCGCGUGAGGGAUGAAGGUACAGAGUAUCGUAAACCUCUUUUGUCAGGGAACAAAGGCGGGGACGUGUCCCCGGAUGAGUGUACCUGAAGAAAAAGCAUCAGCUAACUCCGUGCCAGCAGCCGCGGUAAUACGGAGGAUGCGAGCGUUAUCCGGAUUUAUUGGGUUUAAAGGGUGCGCAGGCGGUCUGUUCAGUCAGC